AUAAUGCACUUAAAUUUUAAUUUGCUUCAAGUCAUUCUGUAAUCUACAGAUAUAUACUAUCAAACAUAAUGAAGCAAAUUUGGUUCACUAGUUUCCUAAUGAUCGUGAUGGCCAGCGUGGCCAUGAUGGUGUUUGCAGACGAUUCAGAUGAAGGUUUCGACAUACCUUGCUUCUUGGAAUGUGCUGGAGGUUGCUCUGCUAAUCAAAACAUCAAGUGCAUAACAUCGUGCUUUGAACGAUGCAUUAUUGCACCUCCGCCUCCAGCUCCUUCGCCUCUGCCUGAGCUUCCCCCCUGUAAACUAGCUUGCUCGUACUCAGAAUGCGCCAAUCUCAAUAACGAUAUUGACAAAGGGAAAUGCAUGGACAAAUGCUACAAGGUCUCUUGUGAAGACAAUGGUCAAUAAUAGCCUAGCCAUCAUUAAGUGGAAUAUUAUCAAACUGUGUUAUGUCUUGGGCAAUAAAAUUUACUAUGUGAUAAAUCUAUUACAGUUACAUUUCGAGUUA